rnacentral:rRNA from 1 species
UACGUAGGGGGCAAGCGUUGUCCGGAUUUAUUGGGCGUAAAGAGCGUGUAGGCGGUUUGGUAGGUCCGCUGUGAAAACUCGAGGCUUAACCUCGGGCUGUCGGCGGAAACCAUCUGGCUAGAGUCCGGAAGAGGAGAAUGGAAUUCCCGGUGUAGCGGUGAAAUGCGCAGAUAUCGGGAAGAACACCCGUGGCGAAGGCGGUUCUCUGGGACGGUACUGACGCUGAGACGCGAAAGCGUGGGGAGCGAACAGG